AACGAACGCUGGCGGCAGGCUUAACACAUGCAAGUCGAGCGCCCCGCAAGGGGAGCGGCAGACGGGUGAGUAACGCGUGGGAACGUACCCUUCUCUGCGGAAUAGCUCCGGGAAACUGGAAUUAAUACCGCAUACGCCCUUUGGGGGAAAGAUUUAUCGGGGAAGGAUCGGCCCGCGUUGGAUUAGCUAGUUGGUGGGGUAAAGGCCUACCAAGGCGACGAUCCAUAGCUGGUCUGAGAGAAUGAUCAGCCACAUUGGGACUGAGACACGGCCCAAACUCCUACGGGAGGCAGCAGUGGGGAAUAUUGGACAAUGGGGGCGACCCUGAUCCAGCCAUGCCGCGUGAGUGAUGAAGGCCUUAGGGUUGUAAAGCUCUUUCACCGGUGAAGAUAAUGACGGUAACCGGAGAAGAAGCCCCGGCUAACUUCGUGCCAGCCGCCGCAGUAA
rnacentral:rRNA from 1 species